UAUGUUUGGUACAGAUACCACAUUGUUUCUUGUUUGCCUUUUACUGGAAUUUUCUAUAUUGAUAUGCAGACAUGAAUGUGUGCCCCUCAGCUUCGGUAGACAAGGAACGCUCAAGCAAGGUCACGGGUGGUUCUGGGCUUGGCUGAGUGCAGCACCCUGGCCAAAAUGAUUGCCAACCGUCAGACGAAAAGCCUUUUGGAGCAGGACAUCUCGCAGAGAACGCUGUGCUUGAUGCUGGCCUCGACAGCCAUCUACCAUCAUCAUAGGCGGCAUCCGACUGCGUCAACGACGGCGUGGAAUUGGUAUUUCUUCGACAGAGAUGCACUGUACGUGGCCGGUUUCCGUUUUUGUAGCACUGGCUGUUGGACUACAUGCUGUCGUGGUUACGAGUGGUACAAAAAGUGAUAUUUAUGUCCAAACAAAGAAUGGUUCUUGUGUUUACCAUAACUUAACCUUACAAGAUAACAGGGACGUGAACUUGGAAUGGCCUUGCGCAAAAGUUUUAUGUAGUGUAAGAAGUGCCAUGG